rnacentral:lncRNA from 1 species
GAGAAUGAGAAGGGAUAAGUGAAAGUGAUAAGGAUGUGAAAGGAUAAGUGAAGGUAUAUGAGAAUAAAGUUAAGGUUAAGCAUGGGUUGGGAAAUCAUAUAGAGUCUAAGGAAAGUAUGUGUGGCAGUAGUUCCACGCUAGGUAUCCAUAGGAGAUGUGGCGAAUCCACAAGAAUAUGGAAGCACCCAUAGGAGAUGUGGCGAAUCCACAAGAAUAUGGGGUAGAAGCCUAGCGGGAGCUACCCACAGUGAAAAGAAACGAUGUGCCAACCGCGAGAGGCGGGAUAUAAAAACGUGCAUUGUAGAGUUCUUAGUUCAUGGUCAGGUAACGGGGUGUUAAAGGUGUCAUAGGAUUGAGUCGGUCUGGUAAGAUGAGUCGGUUACGUCCAGGGUUUGACGUGUGUGGCAAUGAGUGAGAUCAUUGUAUUGAUUGAUCACUAGGUUGCUAGAAAUGUAUGGAAUUGAAUGUGGAAAUUAAUGAUGACAAUAUGAAAUGAUAAAAUGAAUUAACUGAUUGUAGUGGCUA